UUUUAUUUGAGAGUUUGAUCCUGGCUCAGGAUGAACGCUGGCGGCGUGCCUAACACAUGCAAGUUGAGCGAUUUACUUCGGUAAAGAGCGGCGGACGGGUGAGUAACGCGUGGGUAACCUCCCCUGUACACACGGAUAACAUACCGAAAGGUAUGCUAAUACGGGAUAAUAUAUUUGAGAGGCAUCUCUUGAAUAUCAAAGGUGAGCCAGUACAGGAUGGACCCGCGUCUGAUUAGCUAGUUGGUAAGGUAACGGCUUACCAAGGCGACGAUCAGUAGCCGACCUGAGAGGGUGAUCGGCCACAUUGGAACUGAGACACGGUCCAAACUCCUACGGGAGGCAGCAGUGGGGAAUAUUGCACAAUGGGCGAAAGCC
rnacentral:rRNA from 1 species